GAUGAAGAACGCAGCGAAAUGCGAUAAGUAAUGUGAAUUGCAGAAUUCCGUGAAUCAUCGAAUCUUUGAACGCACAUUGCGCCCCCUGGCAUUCCGGGGGGCAUGCCUGUCCGAGCGUCAUUUCUGCCCUCCAGCCCGGCUGGGUGUUGGGCGCUGUCCCCCCGGGGACACGCCCCAAAGGCAGUGGCGGCGCCGCGUCGGGUCCUUGAGCGUAUGGGGCUUUGUCACCCGCUCGGGACGGACUCGUCGGCGCUGGUCUUCCUCCAGGCGACCCUUCGGGGCUCGUCUUCCUUCGGUUGACCUCGGAUCAGGUAGGGUUACCCGCUGAACUUAAGCAUAUCAAUAAGCGGAGGA
rnacentral:misc_RNA from 1 species